rnacentral:rRNA from 1 species
CAGUGGGGAAUAUUGCACAAUGGGGGAAACCCUGAUGCAGCGACGCCGCGUGAGUGAAGAAGUGCUUCGGCAUGUAAAGCUCUAUCAGCAGGGAAGAAGAUGACGGUACCUGACUAAGAAGCCCCGGCUAACUACGUGCCAGCAGCCGCGGUAAUACGUAGGGGGCAAGCGUUAUCCGGAUUUACUGGGUGUAAAGGGAGCGUAGGUGGCAGAUCAAGUCAGAUGUGAAAGCCCGUGGCUCAACUGCGGGAUUGCAUUUGAAACUGGUUUGCUAGAGUGCAGGAGAGGUAAGUGGAAUUCCUAGUGUAGCGGUGAAAUGCGUAGAUAUUAGGAGGAACACCAGUGGCGAAGGCGGCUUACUGGACUGUAACUGACACUGAGGCUCGAAAGCGUGGGGAGCAAACA